GCGAAGAACCUUACCAGGCAACGACAUCCUCAGACAACCCUAAGAUAGGGCUUUCCCUUCGGGGACAGAGUGACAGGUGGUGCAUGGUUGUCGUCAGCUCGUGUCGUGAGAUGUUGGGUUAAGUCCCGCAACGAGCGCAACCCUUGAUCUUAGUUGCCAGCAUUCAGUUGGGCACUCUAAGGUGACUGCCGGUGACAAACCGGAGGAAGGUGGGGAUGACGUCAAAUCAUCAUGCCCCUUAUGACCUGGGCUACACACGUGCUACAAUGGACAGAACAAAGGGCUGCAAGACCGCAAGGUUUAGCCAAUCCUAUAUAUCUUGUUCUCAGUUCGGAUCGCAGUCUGCAACUCGACUGCGUGAAGCUGGAAUCGC
rnacentral:rRNA from 1 species